UCUUCAUGCAAAAGGAAGUUCCCAAUGACUCUGGCUGCAUGCUUGGGGUUGUUGUCCUGGUGCAGGAUAAAUUUGGGGCCAACAAAAAAAUCUCUCUAAUGGUAUUGCAAGAUGGAUUACUAUCUGCCUGUAUUUCUCAGCAUUGAGAAUACCACGAAUCCUGACCAAGUCUACAACACUAUUAGCGGAAAACGUUAGAGAAUCCUUUCAGAUGUCUCAGCUGUUCCUUGCAGUCACUCAUUAUUGUAGUGCUCUACAGCCCUUCCACACAGAAACUCCCUUCUGACUCAGGCAUUUAUUUAUUUUUUUGACUGAUCAGUCCAGACCAGCUGCUGUAAUUUCUUUGCUCCCUAGUUCCUAUGUUUUCAGGCAUACUUGACUUGCUUGGCAUUUUUCCAUAUCUGAAGUAUAGCUUUUUAGGUGAUACUUCUGCAUGAAGUCCAUAUCUGACCAGACCUCUCUGGAUAAUAGAUGGGUAUGCCUGGUUCCCACUAGUUACUGUCAGUUCUUAGCUGAUGGCACUGCUGGACAUCUUUUGAUUUCAAAAGGUAUUAAGCUACAUGUGUCUUUCACUUUAGUUCUAAGUUGCCCUGGCUGACUGACCACUGCGUCUCCAAUCCAAAACACUUCUUUGUAUGCUUCAAAAGAGCUAAAACAGCACAUCUUGAAACACCAAUGUGCCUUGAAAUCUUUGUCUGAGAGAGACCUUGCUGAUGCAGUAGAACUGCCAUGUGUCUUGUUGCUGUGCUAAAUCUUGUCAUGACAUGAAACUGUCUUUUACACCUUAACCUUGGCAGCAGAGUUUGGUUGUUCGUCACCCAGUUUUAAGCCUCCUACACAGCUGUUUCUGUUUCAGUUCAGGACAGGGCUUCAACCUACAUGUGACAUUGAUGAUCAUUGCAUUUUUUUGUGUGUUUUACAUGAAAUUCCUCUCUUACCCUUCUCAGGUGGUUUCUCUAUCAAGCUUGAGUCUUCCACUAGAUGCCCGGGUAUAUAGAUGCCAAAAACUGAAAAUACUACCCAGGACCCUCAUGCUCCCGAGCAGUAUUUUUACAGUUUUAGACCAGGCAAUGGAGACCAGAGAAGGCAGUGAUCUAGCUGAAGAAAGAUUGUCAUGGAAGGACAAGGACAUAUGAGAUGUGCUGCCAGACCAUCACUAAAGUUGCCAAUUUCAACAAGUCCUACCAACGGCUACAAAGGUACAACAUGGCACUGAAGACCUAUGUCAGGGGUAGGGAACCCUGGUCCUUGAAAGCCACCUUCCUGCAUGUUUUCCAAUAUACCAUGUUCUUAUUGGCUGGGCACACCCGAAUCAGGAAAUCAGUCAAGAAUAGGGACUCAAACAAUUACCUGGUUCAGGUGUGUCCAGCCAAUAAGAACAUGCCAAAACAGGGUGUAUUGGAAAACAUGCAGGAAGGUGGCUCUCGAGGACCAGGGUUCCCUACCCCUGACCUAUAUAGAACACUACAGCCAAGUGAAUGGAAGAGUUUAAAGAAAAAAUUGCAAUAGACAUGGGUCCCAGGUCAAAGUGAGAAACACCUCCAAAACUUAGAGAACACAGAUCCUUUUGGGCUUCCAGAUACAUGCUAAAACAAAAAAAAAAAACAAGAAAA